GAUCCGGUGGCCUAAAGGUUAGAACGUCCGCCUUAGAUCCGGUAGGUCUCGGGUUCGAACCUCGGCCGAGUCA